rnacentral:rRNA from 1 species
GACGAACGCUGGCGGCGUGCUUAACACAUGCAAGUCGAGCGGUAAGGCCCUUUCGGGGGUACACGAGCGGCGAACGGGUGAGUAACACGUGGGUGACCUGCCCUCAGCUCUGGGAUAAGCCUGGGAAACCGGGUCUAAUACUGGAUAUGACUCCAUGACGCAUGUUGUGGGGUGGAAAGCCUUGUGCGGCUGAGGAUGGGCCCGCGGCCUAUCAGCUUGUUGGUGGGGUGAGGCCUACCAAGGCGACGACGGGUAGCCGGCCUGAGAGGGCGACCGGCCACACUGGGACUGAGACACGGCCCAGACUCCUACGGGAGGCAGCAGUGGGGAAUCUUGCGCAAUGGGCGAAAGCCUGACGCAGCGACGCCGCGUGAGGGAUGACGGCCUGGUUGUAAC